rnacentral:lncRNA from 1 species
AACAGAGGAAGGAGGAGGAUGGGUAAGGUGGGUUGAUGAUCAGGGCACUUGUUGCUGCUACUUAUCUGCUCUGCUUGAAUAGUGUGGGGUAUUUUAAUUUUAACUCCGUUUUUUGUUUGUGUUGUUAAGUUGAGAAAGUAAGUAAUGUCUGUUGGAUGUGAGUUCCCUUUGUAGAAACCUUUGGUUCCCCAUGAAGACGCUAGUAGUAGUACAUGUAUCUUGUGUGGCCACUGCAACUGCAAGCAAUGCUAAUUCUAUUUUGGUUAUUUAAGAAGGAAAAAACGAGAGAAGAUGAGAGUUUGAGAGUGAAGUUGUCGUUUGAUUGCUACAGAACCUAACUAUUGCUUGUGUUGUGUGGUGAUUUGAUGAUUCCUCACUUCAUUCUUUAACUACAAUGUCUGUUACCUCUCUGUACA